rnacentral:rRNA from 1 species
UACGUAGGGCGCAAGCGUUAUCCGGAAUUAUUGGGCGUAAAGAGCUCGUAGGCGGUUUGUCGCGUCUGCCGUGAAAGUCCGGGGCUCAACUCCGGAUCUGCGGUGGGUACGGGCAGACUAGAGUGAUGUAGGGGAGACUGGAAUUCCGGGUGUAGCGGUGAAAUGCGCAGAUAUCAGGAGGAACACCGAUGGCGAAGGCAGGUCUCUGGGCAUUAACUGACGCUGAGGAGCGAAAGCAUGGGGAGCGAACAGG